CCUACGGGAGGCAGCAGUGAGGAAUAUUGGUCAAUGGGCGCGAGCCUGAACCAGCCAAGUCGCGUGAGGGAAGACGGUCCUAUGGAUUGUAAACCUCUUUUGUCGGGGAGCAAAAGACGCCACGCGUGGCGUUCCGAGAGUACCCGAAGAAAAAGCAUCGGCUAACUCCGUGCCAGCAGCCGCGGUAAUACGGAGGAUGCGAGCGUUAUCCGGAUUUAUUGGGUUUAAAGGGUGCGCAGGCGGAAGAUCAAGUCAGCGGUAAAAUUGAGAGGCUCAACCUCUUCGAGCCGUUGAAACUGGUUUUCUUGAGUGAGUGAGAAGUAUGCGGAAUGCGAGGUGUAGCGGUGAAAUGCAUAGAUAUCACGCAGAACUCCGAUUGCGAAGGCAGCAUACCGGCGCUCAACUGACGCUCAUGCACGAAAGUGUGGGUAGCGAACAGGAUUAGAUACCCGUGUAGUC
rnacentral:rRNA from 1 species